CCCUUAGAUGUUCUGGGCCGCACGCGCGCUACACUGAUGCAUUCAACGAGCCUAUCCUUGACCGACAGGUCCGGGUAAUCUUUGAAUCUGCAUCGUGACGGGGAUAGAUUAUUGCAAUUAUUAAUCUUCAACGAGGAAUGCCUAGUAGGCGCAAGUCAUCAGCUUGCGUCGAUUACGUCCCUGCCCUUUUUACACACCGCCCGUCGCUCCUACCGAUUGGGUGUGCUGGUGAAAUGUUCGGAUCGGCCGUUUGUCGCGGUUUCCGCGGCUCGUGGCUGAGAAGUUCAUUAAACCCUCCCACCUAGAGGAAGGAGAAGUCGUAACA
rnacentral:rRNA from 1 species